GAUGUGACUAUUACUGAUUAAUAUACCUGCAAAAUACUGAAUGUGUUUCUGACUAAAGUACCUAAAGAUCACAGAAUUCAUUUACAUAGCUAAAGUGGAUCACAGAAAACUGCAGAGAACAAGAUGGAACAUUAUAUCAGUGCUGCAGGUUUGGUCACCUUAAAAUCAGCUACUAAUGUUACGGAGGUCUCCUGAAAAGUGCCAUUAGAAAAGCUGCUUAUAGAAACAAACGCCAGACACUCGUCACUCCCUGCAUGCAACCAAAGAACGCUAACCUCUUCCACAGAAACUCGCCUUGGUCAACAAGCCCGUCUAUGGAAAUACAUGGGGUGCAACUUGCAGCUAAACUAGCCGAAAUCAGAGAAAUCAAAUUAGACAUUGUCUUACUUCAAGUUAUAAAUAAUGUGACUAAUAUGUAUUGUAUUUGAGGACAGUAAAUAUGAACAAUUUAUUAUGAAUAUGCCCAAUUAUAACUCUAAGAAUUGGACUUUUCAUCUUCGACUUAUAUAUCUUUAAAAAUAUUAAAAUAUACUACAGAAGAAUGAAGACUGUUUGGAGUGAUUAUAACAUCGGUUAAGGUUUUGUAUAUUAGUCCUUCAGACUGCUAAAAACGAGGUAUAAAUGGAACGCGCGUUUUGUAACUCCGUCUUGAUAUAUAAAGGAUCUUAUUUUGUAUUCGAAUUCAACACCGCGCGUAAAGCGUGGACGUGACGGUCCGGCCUUCGAUUGACUGACGAUGUUGAGGCAAUAGUCAACACGGUAUAGUAUAGUUUGCAGAAAAUUUGCCCGGUUUAGAAUCACUCAGUUUACAAAAUGAGUGUUUUUAAUUUCAUUGAAAAAAUGUAUUAUCAUCAUGGUCCAUA